GCGGGUGUGGUGUAGUGGCUCGCACGUCAGCCUUCCAAGCUGAAAGAGACGGGUUCAAUUCCCGCCACCCGCU
rnacentral:tRNA from 1 species